GCAGUCGAACGAUGAAGCCCACUUGUGGGUGGAUUAGUGGCGAACGGGUGAGUAACACGUGAGUAACCUGCCCUUGACUCUGGGAUAAGCCUGGGAAACUGGGUCUAAUACCGGAUAUGACCUUCCAUCGCAUGGUGGUUGGUGGAAAGCUUUUGUGGUUUUGGAUGGACUCGCGGCCUAUCAGCUUGUUGGUGGGGUAAUGGCCUACCAAGGCGACGACGGGUAGCCGGCCUGAGAGGGUGACCGGCCACACUGGGACUGAGACACGGCCCAGACUCCUACGGGAGGCAGCAGUGGGGAAUAUUGCACAAUGGGCGCAAGCCUGAUGCAGCGACGCCGCGUGAGGGAUGACGGCCUUCGGGUUGUAAACCUCUUUCGUAGGGAAGAAGCCAAGAUG
rnacentral:rRNA from 1 species